rnacentral:rRNA from 1 species
GUGAGGAAUUUUCCGCAAUGGGCGAAAGCCUGACGGAGCAAUGCCGCGUGAAGGAUGAAGGCCUAUGGGUUGUAAACUUCUUUUCUCAGAAAAGAAUUAUGACGGUAUCUGAGGAAUAAGCAUCGGCUAACUCUGUGCCAGCAGCCGCGGUAAGACAGAGGAUGCAAGCGUUAUCCGGAAUGAUUGGGCGUAAAGCGUCUGUAGGUUGUUUAAAAAGUAUUCUGUCAAAGAUUAGGGCUUAACCCUAGAUAGGCAGAAUAAACUUUUAAGCUAGAGUUUGGUAGAGGCAGAGGGAAUGCCCGGUGGAGCGGUGAAAUGCGUAGAUAUCGGGAGGAACACCAAAGGCGAAGGCACUCUGCUGGGCCAAUACUAACACUGAGAGACGAAAGCGAGGGGAGCAAAUGGGAUUAGAUACCCUGGUAUCC